UGGGGGGCACUGUGAAGCUGGACAGGAGACAUGCCUACUACCAUCAAAUACAGGCUCAGCUCCACCUCGUUGAUGUUGACUACUGCGACUUUGUUGUCUGGACUAAAAAUGACCUCUUUGUAGAGAGAAUUGUGCGUGAUGUGGACCUGUGGGACAACAUCAUUCCCAGAGUUGAGCGUUUCUUCAGACUAUGUGUUCUCCCUGAAGUGUUGGGACAGUAACUUACAAGGGGAAAGUUUCAGUUGCAAGAUGAUCAGGAGGGAGAGAAGGCGUGAUUACCAGCACCUGUGGUCUGUCCUGGUCCCGGAAGUUGUGGUUCUCUCCUUGUUGCAUUAUUAUUACGUGCCGUAGUGGGUGCUGGUGUUUGGGUGUGUGUGGGUGUCUUUUUCUCUCUCCCUCUGAUCUCCCCAGGUGCUCCCAAUCUCCAAUCAGCGCCUCCAUAUAGGACAUGAGGAAGGUUGCAGUCGCUCUCCCCUUAUCUUAAGCUUUGUUUGACAAGUUGGCUGGUGAGCCCUUUUUCGUUGUGUUAAUUAAAAGACCACUUUAUGGCGUCAGAGAUCAGUUUCCUCUCCUUUUUCUCUCGGCCGGUUAUGUUGUGUGUCGCUACUUCCUUUUGUACCCCUAUAUUUACAAGGGAACGUAACAUUUGCACAGUGGCAGCUCUUUAACCUGCAUUAUAGCACCUUCAUAUUCACUGACCACACUCACUAGAGGAAGUAGGGCUGUGUGAUAUAUUGCUAUUGUAAAAAAGAUGUUUACUGAAAAGAUUAAAUGAUACUAAGACUGAA